UUACGUGAGUCAGAUAUGGCGGAAUGGAAGCACACUAUGUCGGCUCCGUCCUCAAGCAGCAUGACCUCGCUGAGUCGAGCGCUUUCUCUGACCAGGUUAAAUCAGCCAGAUUCGUUUCAGUCGCAGAAAUCUCUGAGCCGGAGCGCGGCUGGUCAGUUUCGCAGGAGGUUCUCGAGCACUUCGGAGUCUCCUGACAUCAGUCCAAAUGUCGAGGCGAGGGUUCUUGUCAUAAACACCGGCGGAACCAUUGGAAUGAUGUAUCAUAAUAACGUUCUGUCUCCAGAACCAAAUGCUCUUGUUGAAACUCUACGCAAACUCCCCAUUCUUCAUGAUGAGCUGUAUGCACAACAGACCAGACUGUAUGAAUACUACAAGCCCCCGGAGAACACGCUGGUGCUGCCGAAGCCCACUUGCUCAGAUGAUCCUCUAUUGCAUAGACUGUCCAAACAGAAUAAGAGGAUUGUAUAUACACUUUUAGAGUAUUCACCCCUCCUUGACUCCUGCAAUAUGACGACUGAUGAUUGGGCCACGGUUGGAAAAGACAUUGAGAAACACUACGAGCAAUAUGAUGGUUUUGUCAUUUUGCACGGCACAGACACAAUGGCUUACACCGCCUCUGCCUUAUCCUUCAUGUGUGAGAACCUGGGAAAGCCUGUCAUCCUCACCGGUUCACAGGUGCCCAUUUAUGAAAUGAGGAAUGAUGGGAGGGACAACCUCUUGGGGGCGUUGUUGAUUGCAGGACAGUUUGUCAUCCCUGAGGUUUGCCUCUAUUUUCAUCAUAAGCUGUACAGAGGCAAUCGUGUCACCAAAGUGGACGCUGGAAGUUUUAACGCAUUUACCUCCCCAAACCUGCCGCCAUUAGCCAAUGCUGAAGUCGACAUCAAAAUAAGCCUAAUUCCAUGGAUUGAAACUGCUUCGAAGAUCUCAAACAUGGGGAGAAACAAAUUUAACUGGGAUACUGUGUGGCGAGCCAAUACAACCGCCAAAUUCACUGUCAACACACAAAUGAACCGUAAUGUGGGUCUCCUGCGACUCUUCCCAGGAAUCACUGCUGAUACUGUCAGGGCCUUCUUGCAGCCUCCUAUGGACGGGAUCGUAUUGGAAACGUACGGCAGUGGUAACGCCCCAGACAACCGUGCUGACCUGCUGGAUGAGUUCCGUAAAGCGACCAAGAGAGGACUCAUCAUGAUCAACUGCACUCAGUGUCUCAGGGGCUCGGUCACAACCUCAUACGCCACUGGCCAGGCUCUGAGUGAUGCUGGUUUGGUCGCUGGGUGUGAUAUGACCCCAGAAGCUGCUCUUUCAAAACUCUCCUAUGUGCUGGCAAAACAAGACCUCAGUACAGAAGAGAAGAAAAAGAUGCUGAGUCGUAAUCUGCGUGGUGAGAUGGUGGCUGAUCUGGGCGGAGCAAAGCUUUCUCUCAGUGACAGUCGCUUUAUUCAGGUCAUCGCCAAGUCCCUCAGCAUUAGCUGUAAAGAGGAGCUUGAAGCCAUACGAGAUGCACUAACGCCUACUUUGGUCUGCGUUGCUGCUAAGAUUGGAGACAUUGAGGCUUUAGAGGCCAUAAGGGAAAUGGGCACUGACUUGAGCUGUGCAGAUUAUGAUGGCCGCACUCCCCUUCACAUCAGUGCAUGUGAGGGGCAUCUGAACGUGGUGGAAUAUCUGCUGGGUAAAGGGGCCACCGUCUAUGCCAAAGAUCGCUUUGGUGAUACACCUCUUCGUAAUGCUGUUCGCUUCAGGCACAAGGAUGUUGUGAAACUGCUGAGGAAGACUGGAGCUCAUUUUUCCCGGGAAGAAAUGGAGGAUGCCGGAACAGAGCUGUGCAGUCUUGCGGCGAGUGGGGACUUAGAAGCAUUGGAGAUUUGGCAGUUAGCUGGGGUUGAUAUGACCAUGUGCAGUUAUGAUGGACAGACGCCUAUUGAAGUGGCAAGAGCCACUGGAUGUAAGGAGGUUGUUGAGUUCUUAAAGCAGGCUGCUCUGUACCAAACUCAGCAUCAGACAGAUGAGGGUAAUAAGGAUAGAGUAUACUGUUUAAAAAUGUGCAUGCUUCAGAGUGAUGUGGAAGUGCAUGUCUCAGUGGAAGGGUUGUGAGUUGAUCUCCCAUUGGAAAAACAACAGGUUCUGGCAUACAGUAGUUAAUAGUUUGAAAGGCAUCUUGAUGUUACUUUUAUUUACACAAUGAGGAAAUGGUCCUGUCUUGUGAUUGAAACAUUCACCACUGUGAUAAAGAGAUGCAAAGGAAUGUGCUCAUAACAACAUCAGUCUUUGUGGCAUGAUUGGUGUGUAAGUGAAGUUGCAACAAAAAUGAACAGCUUCUAGUUAACAAAAAAUCCUUCGUCUUUUUCUUGCAGCCAGUAUUUGAGGAGGAUGAGGAGGAGAAUGGCGAGUAUAUCGAGUUUACUGCUUGUCCAAGAUCCUGAGGAGGCCGUCCUGCUAGCUGUCACUUCUUGCCAUAAUCAUCCGUCCGGUUUCUUAGUAUUUUAGUAGACCUGCUGCAGAUUUUUCCUAUUUGGACAAACGUCCUCUUAAAACAUAAAAAGCACAAAGCCAUACCUUUUAAGCCCGUCCUUCUGAAACCGUAAGCAAUCCGGUUUGAAUGUAAAGUGUGAAGAUGAACAAUCAUAAAACAAUCAUACCUAUUAUUUAUGUACAAGCACAUUAUUUAGACCAGUGGCUCUUAACUCCACUCCUCGGGGCCCACUGCUCUGCACAUUUUGUAUGUUUCUGAAUCUGACACACUCAAUUCAGUUCAUGGAUCUUUCUCCUAACGAGCUGAUGAUCUGAAUCAGGUGCGUUAAAUGAGGGAGACAUACAAAAUGUGCAGAGCAGUGGGCCCUGAGGACUGGAGUUGAGAACCACUGAUUUAGACUAUAUUACAGUACAGGGUACUGUAACCGCUGAUGUCAAACAAAAUGUGACCUCAUUUGAAUAUGAUCUAUUUAUUGUUUUGAUUUAGAGUGAAUUUAGAUAUUUAAAGCUGUCAGGACUGUUACGUGUUUAUCCAUUGUUAUUCAUGUGUUCACUGUAUCACCUGUUACAUUAUUGUGAAUGUAUACAGUUCAUACAUAUUUUAAUAGCAUAUACACUUUACUGUAAUGUAAUCACAGUGAUGAGUAAGGAUGGUUUUACCUACUCUAUAUGCAGAGAAGAAAAUCAAAAAAAGUUUGAUGGCUCAAAAGUUAUACACGUUUUAGUUGUAUUUUCAGUUAAAACUGAAAUAAUCAGUUUCCCUCUAUAGUGAUUAUCAAAAACAUUGUGUUUGUUAUGCAAAAUAGUUGGAACAUCCUGUUCUUUAGUUUUGUUCAUCUGUAAAUCAGUGUGUGUAUUCAUACCAAUCACACAUUUUAGUUGACCUCAGAAAAGGUUUCAGUCAUAUUGUUUUAUUGUUCAAUUUGCAAUUGUUGUAGCAAUAAAAAUGCAAAAGCAUAUGUUUAUGCUGUUGAAACCACCAAAUUAACACUUACCUGUACUGUCUUUUUGUAAUGUCAGUGCGACAUUAAAAGGCAAUAAAUGUGUUUUGAAAUUGAA